rnacentral:misc_RNA from 1 species
GGAGGAACAGCUGCAUCUGGGUGCUUUGACUUCAGGUUAAGAUAGCGGUAGUAACGCUCUAGAACAGGAUUAGGUGUGAAGUCAGGUGAUAACACUUCCUGUUUUCCAGGUGGUGCAAGAUCCAACAUCUGAACCAAUUUAUCUGCUGCGUCUUGUUGCUUUUCAUUUGGCUGCAUUGAUGAAGGUAAAUUGCUGAAAGAAGGAAACUGGAAAUCCCGAACAUCCUCAGCAAAGGGAAGAAUAUUGAAGUAAAAUGAAUCAGGAGUAUUAUCCUUGUCAGAGACAUUUGGUGUAAGGACCCCAACAACAACAUUACCUUGGCCUUGCCUCCAUACACAUCGGACGAUUGCUACUUUGUUCAUUUCCUUCAUUG